AACGCGAAGAACCUUACCAGCUUUUGACAUGUCCGGUUUGAUCGGCAGAGAUGCCUUUCUUCAGUUCGGCUGGCCGGAACACAGGUGCUGCAUGGCUGUCGUCAGCUCGUGUCGUGAGAUGUUGGGUUAAGUCCCGCAACGAGCGCAACCCUCGCCCCUAGUUGCCAUCAUUAAGUUGGGAACUCUAGGGGGACUGCCGGUGAUAAGCCGCGAGGAAGGUGGGGAUGACGUCAAGUCCUCAUGGCCCUUACAGGCUGGGCUACACACGUGCUACAAUGGCGGUGACAAUGGGCAGCGAAAGGGCGACCUCGAGCUAAUCCCAAAAAGCCGUCUCAGUUCAGAUUGCACUCUGCAACUCGAGUGCAUGAAGGUGGAAUCGCUAGUAAUCGUGGAUCAGCAUGCCACGGUGAAUACGUUCCCGGGCCUUGUACACACCGCGCAUA
rnacentral:rRNA from 1 species